AUUCCUCCUUCAUAACUUGCUUCCAAGAGCUUCCCCGUGAUCUCGGCCUAUUGUGAUCUCUUCUUUCCACCAGGUUCAUGACAUGAAAAGCCCCGGUUGCUCGCCUCAAGGAGCUGGCAGUGGAACUAGGGACACCGGUAAACAGAUAAAUCACAGUCGAAAAAUGAAUGCAACCACCAAGAUAUGAAUUGAGUGGAAACGAACAAUUUCCUAUGGGAAAACAGAACAAAGAAGCCUGCUUGCGAGAGUCUAAGAAGUCUGCCCAGCCAGUCAGGGAUAUCUGAGGAACAGGGAGAAGAAUAAUUGACGUCGGGGCUUGGCUUUAUGGUCUUUACAGCUGUGAUCGGAUUAGAAGAAAGGCUGACAAAAGUGUUGUUUCCAUCCGCCUUUUACAAUCGGAGAGAAUGAAUGAGCUGCUUUCCAGUUUUCUGUUCCAAGUAUUAACUGGAUUCCCACUUCACUUUGCUUCCGUGAUUUCUCCUCUGCUUAUGUUAGCUUCCGUCUCACACGAUAUGUACAUAGCCCCAUCUCUGCCGAGCAAAUCAGAGGCUGAGCUCUGGGCUGUGGACAGUGUCAGUGACAACAAGGGUGAGUCGUCCUCAGAUGAAUCAUCAGGUGUGGGAAAUGCGUUUGAGACACUCAAAAUAACUGGGGACUGAUGGGUGGCGGGGGGGGGCUUAAUAAAUACAAGCCUGCGAGACCUAACUUCUACACGUCUUCAGAAGGCUGAGUUGCUUUGAGAGGGAGAUACAGAAGAUGACAAUUUGCUGCCAGUGGCUGGUCCCAGACAAGGAGCUGUGACUAAACAGGAAAUCAGUUACUUAGCAGUUGAGCGGAUGUUUGAGUGUUCAAAGCACAGGCACAAUAGCUAUACUCUGAUAUGUCCUGUAAAGUUAAAAACAAAGCCAGGUUAACCCUGACAGAUGCACCCAAGACUGAUACACUUAGGUACUACCUGGUUGCAUCGCCUGGGGAUCUUAAUACUCUGUGAAUCAUUAUGAAUUAUAAUAUUUAAAGCUGUUGUUUAUUUGGUAUUUAUUGGGUGUCAUAAUGUUCCCAGUGCUACACAGGCGUAAUUUUUAAACCACCCCAAAAGUCCUGCAAGAGGUUAGGCGUGAUGGCUCACGUCUGUAAUCCUAGCACUUUGGGAGGCUGAGGUGGGCAGAUUUCUUGAGCCCAGGAGUUAAGAGACCAGCCUGGGUAACAUGGCAAGACCCCUAUCCCUAUAAAAAAAAUUUUUUUUCAAAAAAAAAAUCAGCCAGGCAUGACGGUGCAUGCCUGUAGUCCCAGCUACUUGGGAGACUAAGGUGGGAGGAUUACCCAAGCUUGGAGAGGUAGAGACUGCAGUGAGCCAUGAUGGCACCACUGCACUCCAGCCUGGGCAAUGGAGUGAGACCCUGUCUCAAAUAAAUAAAUAAAUAAAUAAAUAAAUAAAUAAAUAAAUAAAUAAAUAAAAAGUCUUGCAAGAGAAAACAUCUCCAUUUUUCAAAAGGAAGUUACAGAGGUUGAGUAAUUUGCCUGAUUUCACUAAGUUGGUCAUAACAGAGUUUGGAUUCAAACCCAGAGCAAACGAAGGCUUAGAGGGACUAGCAACUUUUCCUUUUGAGGUCUAGAUGAUCUUACUUUUUGUUAUUAGGGGUCAAGGCCAGGAUUAGAAGGAGACAAGUGAGGUUGCGUUUGCCAGUGCGGGGUUAGAGCCUGUCUUUAGCAUUUUGAUAUUUUGUUCAUUGUAGAGUAUUGUGCAUUAAUUUUUAUUUUUUAAAAAUAUUGCAUCAAAAUAUUAUUUACCCUGAUUUUUAGUUUUUUGGUGCCAUCUUAAAUUUUGAGCCCAAGGGCUAGUGUUUUACUAGCCUCACUAUUCUCUAGGCUUUGCUCAAGGCUACAGACAAUCUGUGAUCACCUGAAUUAAGCCAACAGACAGUUCUCAUUUCAGACAGACUUUUCAUCUUCCUCCUGCCUACCUCAUACAUUUUACAUCCCAAAUUACUGCCUACUGGGAAAGAAGGUUUUGGGUUUGUUUUAACUUGUUUGUUUGCUUUUUUGUUUGUUUGUUUGUUUUUCUUUAUCUUUUUCCUUGAUUCAUCACCGGCUGAGAUACAUACUAUAUAAACAAGAAAUGUGGCAAAAGGUGGUAUAUCAAGAAACGGGAUGCCAAAAAUUUCACACAAUCCGUGAACACAUUUAAGCAUACUUAAAAAAGAAAUGUCCAUCUCAUCAACAAAAAAUAAGUAUGUAAGGUGAGAGAUAUGUUAAUUAGCUUAACAUAAUAAUUCAACAAUGUAUUCACAUAUCAAAAUAUCACCUGGUAUAUUAUAAAUAUAUAUAAUUUUUCAUUUUUCAAUAAAUGAAUGAGUGAAAUGUGGAAGAGUAAUGUCAGGCCCCCGCCCAAGGCUGGAGAACAUAUCUUUUUCUAUGAGAAAUUUUCUUCCAUAAUUGUCAGAUCUUCAAACAUCUGCUUCACAGAAGUGUCUCAGAGCCCUAUCACAGAUACAAGAUUAAAUAAAUACCAUAAGCUGAGGCUGUGGGUUGUCACUGGCAGCUGGAGGGACAAAAGUCAUCUUUUUAUUCCUAACCUUUUGUUUCUGCAAAUGUAGUCUAUUAUGACAUGCACAGGUAUUAGGAGGGUGACGGCCAUGCCAAUAGCAAACACAGCUGUUUUGAAUCCUAUUCUGUAUUUUUUAUUAACUAAAUACAGUGCUUGGUAAAAUAAAAUAAAAUCAACAUUAGGAGGCUCAUCAAUUACACAGGAGAGAAAUGGUUACAUAGAAAUUGACAUCAUCCAGGUAAUAUAUGCCUAAUCAAUUUCCUAAGCAAAUCAGAUGCUUCUGGGCUGAAUUAAAGAAACACCUUUAAUUAAUUCAGCACCUACUGUGUGUCCGAAACCAACCAGAAACUUGUGGCCCAGGUUUCCUAGGAGAAACUGAUGACCAAUAAGCUACUGCCAUUUGGACCUGUAUUUUGUGGAGAGUGCAGGUCAUUUUUUUAAUUUAAAAAAGUGCUCAAUUGCAGUCCCUUUCUACAGGACAGGCCAAGGGAAACGGAUGGGAGCAAAGCAGGUGGAUCUCUGGCAGGAUUACAAUCAAAUUAAAUGCGCAUGGCCUGGAGUUUUCUUUUCAGCACUUUCAACUCAGAAUAGUAGCCGUAAGUCAGCAGCAGUACUGCUUUUUGUUGCUGGGGCAGAGUAUUAUACCUCAGGGUUGCUUCUUCAGUUCUAAUUUGACCUAAUGAACAUUUAAAAGAGAGGAAGGAAAAGUUACUUCUGAGUCCAGAAAACUGGAUGGUAAAAGAUCAUAUUCUAAAAUUCACACAUUCUGUGCAUUAGAAAGUCACUUAGGCCCAGCUGGGCACGGUGGCUCACGCCUGUAAUCCCAACACUUUAGGAGGCCGAGGCAGGCAGAUUACUUGAGGCCAGGAGUUCAAGACCAGCUUGGCCAACAUGGUGAAACCCUGUCUGUACUAAAAAUACAAAAAUUAGCCAGGCAUGGUGACAGGUGCCUGUAAUCCCAGCUACUGGGGAGGCUGAGGCAGGAGAAUCUCUUGAACCCAGGAGGCAGAGGUUGCAGUAGCGGAGAUCACACCACUGCACUCCAGCCUGGGCGAUAGAGCGAGACUCUGUCUCAGAAAAAAAAAAAAA